UGCUCAGCAUGAUGGACUGUUCUCUGUUGCCCUGGCCUACAGUCCACCCCCAGCUAUGGCCCCACAGCCCUGGCAGGAGUGGCACGGGGCGCUGGCUGUGGCCUGUUUGUCCUGGGGAGAGCUGGCUGUGCCCAUGGACAUUCCAGCACCCGCCUCUGCCCCCCACCCCAGGAAUGGGCAGGGAGGGGAUGGGGGAACUGAACUGGAACCAUGCACAGGAGAACUAGCCUUCUGCCAGACACAGCCAAAGCAGAGUCCAGACGAGGAUCCCUGCACCGUCACCUCAGCCCCUGGCCUCUGUCGACCAAGCCCAGCAGAUAGGAGCCCCGGCCCCGGGAAGGGCUCGCCGAGCCCUCCCACCCCUUCAGCUGGGUCUCAGAGCCAGUGUCUGAGUGCCCUCUUUUGUGGUUCCUCGUUGGCCUCUACUUCUAGUCUCACUUCAAGCCCACUGACCAUCCCAGCCGAGCUCAGAUGCACGGCAGGGCCGGUGAGCAAGGCCUGCUGCCCAAAAUGGGACAGAGCAGGAGGUGACCAGGAACAAGAGCUAUCGCUGGGUGUGGGCCUAGCUGGCAGCAGCCAACUCCCCACUGUCCACUUUGCCUUGAAAAAGACUCUAGGCACAGGUGUGGGCUCAGGUGUGCUCUCCUGUGUGAUGCAGGCACAGGUGUGGGUUCAGGUGUGCUCUCCUGUGUGAUGCAGGCACAGGUGUGGGCUCAGUGUGCUUUCCUGUGUGAUGCAGGCACAGGUGUGGGCUCAGUGUGCUCUCCUGUGUGAUGCAGGCACAGGUGUGGGCUCAGUGUGCUCUCCUGUGUGAUGCAGGCACAGGUGUGGGCUCAGUGUGCUCUCCUGUGUGAUGCAGGCACAGGUGUGGGCUCAGUGUGCUCUCCUGUGUGAUGCAGGCACAGGUGUGGGCUCAGUGUGCUCUCCUGUGUGAUGCAGGCACAGGUGUGGGCUCAGUGUGCUCUCCUGUGUGAUGCAGGCACAGGUGUGGGCUCAGUGUGCUUUCCUGUGUGAUGCAGGCACAGGUGUGGGCUCAGUGUGCUCUCCUGUGUGAUGCAGGCACAGGUGUGGGUUCAGGUGUGCUCUCCUGUGUGAUGCAGGCACAGGUGUGGGCUCAGGUGUGCUCUCCUGUGUGAUGCAGGCACAGGCACAGGUACAGGUGUGGGCUCAGGUGUAGUUCCCGUGUGAUGCAGACCCUGGGUUUGGUGUGGGCUCAGGUGUAGUUCCCGUGUGAUGCAGACCCUGGGUUUGGUGUGGGCUCAGGUGUAGUUCCCGUGUGAUGCAGACCCUGGGUUUGGUGUGGGCUCAGGUG